rnacentral:rRNA from 1 species
AAAAACAUGUCUGUGUGUGUGAGUUAUAAAGUCUAGCCUGCCCACUGAUUACUUAAAGGGCCGCGGUAUUUUGACCGUGCGAAGGUAGCAUAGUCAGUAGUCUUUUAAUUGAAGGCUUGAAUGAAAGGUUGGACGAAGGAUGGGCUGUCUCUUUUAUGAGAUUUGAAUUUAACUUUUGAGUGAAAAGGCUCAAAUUAUUUAGUGGGACGAUAAGACCCUAUAAAACUUUAUAUAAGAGUAACUUGGUUUAUGAUUUAGGUGAAAAGUAGCUUUGUUGGGUUUAUAUUUCGUUGGGGAGAUGUAGAUAUAAUAUAUAACUGUCUGUUUAAUUUAAUAGCUGUAGUUAGUGUGUGAUCCUUCUUUGUGGAUUAAAAGUAUAAGUUACUUUAGGGAUAACAGCGUGAUUUUCUUUGAGAGUUCCUAUCGACAAGAGUAGUUGCGACCUCGAUGUUGAAUUAAAGUUUCAGUUAGGUGUAGCCGUCUAGCUGGUGGGUCUGUUCGACCUUUAAAAUUUUACAUGAUCUGAG